UGAGUUAAGAAAAAAGAAACGGCUUCAAAAUGGUGGCUGACUGGUUGUCGUUGAUAUUUAUACUUUCUCGUCGUAAUUUCCAUUUUUUUCCCCUUAUUUUGCUUUGUCGAAGGAAAUGGCAGUCUGGAAGAAAUUGAAGAUGGGGAAUCGAAUGCAUACCGUCCAUCAUACGAAAGGCGUAAAUCACCAGCAGAUCUGGAAACGUAAAGGUGAAUGAAUUUCGUCAUUACUGGUGCAAGCAUCAGACGAUCAGAGCCUGAUAAAACGACUGUACACACUUCCCAUUCCUGCCGGGACAUUUCGUCAAAUUCUUUCAAGAGGUUAGGUGAGAACGACACGUGUUGCAACAUUAUCAAGUAGGUCUACAAUUGCCCCAAGGCUUAAGUUGAGAGGUAAGGGUGAGAAAAAGUCGUAUAAAAGGAGAGAGAAAAGGCCACAGAGAUCAGUCGUGUGACCAUCUCUGACACGGCAACAACUACAGGGUCUCCAACUGCCUGCUUCAUAGCAUAUCAGUUCGCAAUCAUGGUUAACUAUGGCGCCGUUCUCCUUUUGGGUGUUGGAUCGUUGAUUGCCGUGGUGACCACUGGUUUACUGAUGUCUCCUGCGCAUGUUGAUAACGAGCCUCAGCAGCGAAAGAAUACUACAUCACGCCGCCUCCUUACUAAUCAACAACGUUAACAUCUAGUUACUGAACGAAGGCCUCCACACCAAUGCUCCUGAGUAUUAAACACCUUAUCGCUGCUCCAUCUUAGGAAACAUGGUCAACUGUGGAUCGUGCCUCUGUUGGGUGUUGGAUCGUUGAUGGCUGGGGCGACCACGGGAGUACCGAUGUCUUUUGGGUAUGUUGGAUACCAAACAGCAACGCCGCCACCUUACUACACAACUAAGUCAACAUACGUAACAUCUACUUAAUACACCGAGGCUCCCAAGUACUACUAUUCAAGCUACUACCAAACUGAGGCUACUGUUUACUACACCAAGGCAACCGAGUAUUACGCUAAAACCACAUGUUAACUAUGGCGUCGUUCUGCUGUUGAUUGUUGUAUCCUUGAUGGUUGUAUCCUUGAUGGUUGGGUCGACAACGGGUGUACCGAUGUCUCGUGGGUAUGGCGGAUAACAACCCGCAACGCCGCCGUCUUACAGCACGACAAAAAAUACGCAAGAACCGAAUACUAAACCGCCAAGGCCCCAGAGUAGUACACAACAACUUAUGAUGUCCUGAACUACUACACCAAAGCCCCAAAAAAUAACUGUCCGAUUUACACCACGAGGAGAGCGGAGUACUACACCACGAGGGGAGCGGAGUACUACACCAUAAACCACGCAACUUGCUACAUGGAGGUUCCUAAAUGCUAGAGCCGAAAUUUCCAUUUGAUUUUAUUAACAUUUGUCGGUUGUCUUCAUGGUCAUUCGUCACUGGGAACUAAUUGUUGAACCCAAAUGAGAAAAUAAAAAUUCUAAUGCGGGUAA